rnacentral:tRNA from 3 species
GGAGAAGUACUCAAGUGGCUGAAGAGGACGGUUUGCUAAACCGUUAGAGUGGGCAACUGCUGCGAGGGUUCGAAUCCCUCCUUCUCCGCCA